AUAGUUUAGGUCUCACUAAUAGAAAAAUGGAAAGUGCCAUUUUCUGGCCAUUUGGAACCAUUGUCUAAUUUGUAUUGAGGCCAGGCCAUGUUACAGAAAAAA